GGGUGGCGGCUGGUGUCCGCGCGAGGCUCUGGAACCUUGGGCGCGGAGGGUUCGAUCCCCUCGCCAUCCA
rnacentral:tRNA from 1 species